GACGAACGCUGGCGGCGUGCCUAAUACAUGCAAGUCGAACGCAGUGGGGACGGGUGAUUAACACGUGGGUAACCUCCCGUCAGAGGGGAUAACACGUGGAAACAGGUGCUAAACCGAUACUGAUGGCUGAAGCCGCUGUGCAUUUGCUAGGUGGGGAGGUAACGGCCCACCAAGGCCACGAUGCUUAGCCGAACGGAGAGGGUGACCGGCCACACUGGGACUAAGACACGGCCCAGACUCCUACGGGAGGCAGCAGUAGGGAAUCUUCGGCAAUGGACGAAAGUCUGACCGAGCAAUGCCGCGUGAGUGAAGAAGGUUUUCGGAUCGUAAAACUCUGUUGUUAGGGAAGCGGUAUCUAACCAGAAAGCCACGGCUAACUACGUGCCAGCAGCCGCGGUAAUAC
rnacentral:rRNA from 1 species